rnacentral:tRNA from 1 species
UCCCCCGUGGUGUAACUGGCAGCACACCAAGUUUUGGUCUUGGCAGGACAGGGUUCGAAUCCUUGCGGGGGAGCCA